GAUGAACGCUGGCGGCGUGCCAAUACAUGCAAGUCGCGCGAACAGACGAGGAGCUUGCUCCUCUGACGUUAGCGGCGGACGGGUGAGUAACACGUGGAUAACCUACCUAUAAGACUGGGAUAACUUCGGGAAACCGGAGCUAAUACCGGAUAAUAUAUUGAACCGCAUGGUUCAAUAGUGAAAGACGGUUUUGCUGUCACUUAUAGAUGGAUCCGCGCCGCAUUAGCUAGUUGGUAAGGUAACGGCUUACCAAGGCGACGAUGCGUAGCCGACCUGAGAGGGUGAUCGGCCACACUGGAACUGAGACACGGUCCAGACUCCUACGGGAGGCAGCAGUAGGGAAUCUUCCGCAAUGGGCGAAAGCCUGACGGAGCAACGCCGCGUGAGUGAUGAAGGUCUUCGGAUCGUAAAACUCUGUUAUUAGGGAAGAACAAAUGUGUAAGUAACUAUGCACGUCUUGACGGUACCUAAUCAGAAAGCCACGGCUAACUACGUG
rnacentral:rRNA from 1 species